rfam:Schistosoma mansoni strain Puerto Rico chromosome 4, complete genome
GCACUGACGAGGAGUGCCACAAUAGGACGAAAUGGCCGUCCAGUGU